UACGGAAGGGGGCUAGCGUUGCUCGGAAUCACUGGGCGUAAAGCGCACGUAGGCGGAUUGUUAAGUCAGGGGUGAAAUCCUGGAGCUCAACUCCAGAACUGCCUUUGAUACUGGCGAUCUCGAGUCCGGGAGAGGUGAGUGGAAUUCCACGUGUAGCGGUGAAAUGCGUAGAGAUGAUGGAGGAACACCAGUGGCGAAGGCGACUCUUUGGCCUGAUAACUGACACUGAGGCGCGAAAGCGUGGGGAGC
rnacentral:rRNA from 1 species